UACGGAAGGUGCGAGCGUUGUCCGGAAUCACUGGGCGUAAAGGGUGCGUAGGUGGUUGUGCAAGUCUGAUGUGAAAUCUCCGGGCUUAACCCGGAAAUGGCAUUGGAAACUGCAUGGCUAGAGGGUUGGAGGGGGGACUGGAAUACUUGGUGUAGCAGUGAAAUGCGUAGAUAUCAAGUGGAACACCAGUGGCGAAGGCGAGUCCCUGGACAACACCUGACACUGAGGCACGAAAGCUAGGGGAGCAAACAGG
rnacentral:rRNA from 1 species